GAUGAACGCUGGCGGCGUGCCUAACACAUGCGAGUCGAGCGAACAGACGAGGAGCUUGCGCCUCUGACGUUAGCGGCGGACGGGUGAGUAACACGUGUAUAACCUACCUAUAAGACUGGGAUAACUUCGGGAAACCGGAGCUAAUACCGGAGAAUAUAUUGAACCGCAUGGUUCAAUAGAGAAAGACGGUGGUGCUGGCACUAAUAGAUGGAUACGCGCCGCUUUAGCUAGUUGGUGGGGUAACGGCCUUCCAAGGCUACUAUGCGUAGCCGACCGCAGAGGCGGGUCGGCCACCCUGGAGCGUGGCCACGGACCUGACUCCUACGGGAGGCAGCAGUCGGGAACCUUCCGCAAUGGGCGGGAGUCUGGCGGAGCAACGCCGCGUGUGUGAUGGAGGUCUUCCGAUCGUAAAGCUCUGUUACUGGGGGUAAACCAAUUUGUAAUGUGACAAGGCCGUCUUGACGGUACCUAGUCAAGAAGCCCCGGCUAACUACGUG
rnacentral:rRNA from 1 species